GUCGAAGAAGAAUUGGGCUUUUGGAAGAGGCUGGCGGGCUUUUGGAAGAGGCGGGCGAGCUGUUGGCGUGGAGAGAACGAAGAAAGCGAAGUCAACAGAGAGACGGGUUUUAUGAGGAAACAUGGACAAAAAGUAUGCACCAAAUCACCAACAGAAGACAGACAAGCUCUAUGCAGUAAAUGUGAGGCUAGGCUUGCGGCAGCAGUAGUGGGGAGAGAUGAACGGUCUCCGUUGAAGAGGAGUCAGACUAACAAACGCUGACAACGGGCUGCAGAUUUUCGGAGCGGAGACGGGAACGUGGA